UACGUAGGGUGCAAGCGUUGUCCGGAAUUAUUGGGCGUAAAGAGCUCGUAGGCGGUCUGUCACGUCGGCUGUGAAAACUCGGGGCUCAACUCCGAGCUUGCAGUCGAUACGGGCAGGCUAGAGUUCGGCAGGGGGAGACUGGAAUUCCUGGUGUAGCGGUGAAAUGCGCAGAUAUCAGGAGGAACACCGGUGGCGAAGGCGGGUCUCUGGGCCGAUACUGACGCUGAGGAGCGAAAGCGUGGGGAGCGAACAGG
rnacentral:rRNA from 1 species